GGUUGUGGCUUAGUGGCAAAGCGCUUGUUUAGCAUGUAUGAGGCACUAGGUUCGAUUCUCAGCACCA
rnacentral:tRNA from 1 species